AUUGGGAAGACCGAUUCCAUCACCAUCAGCGUAUGGAACCACAAGAAGAUCCAUAAGAAGCAGGGUGCGGGUUUCUUAGGCUGUGUGCGGCUCCUGUCCAACGCCAUCAGCAGACUAAAAGACACAGGCUACCAGCGUUUAGACUUAUGCAAGCUGAACCCAUCUGACAGUGAUGCUGUUCGUGGACAAAUCGUUGUGAGUCUGCAGACCAGAGACAGAAUUGGCAGUGGAGGGCCUGUGGUCGACUGUAGAGGACUGGUAGAAGAAU